rnacentral:lncRNA from 1 species
AGGAUUCCUGGGCUGGGGACAGGGAGAGGAAGAAGAGAAAGAUCCGCCAUGCUGGAAAAAGGAGAACUAAGAUGCCACACCCGAGAAGCUCAGGACAGAGAACAUAGCCGCCAUAUUGGAGUAAGGGGAUCCCAGCCCAAGAUGGUCUGGGUAUAGGGCAGCAAAGAUGGAAAACAGUUAGGGACUCCAUCCAAUAAAGGCAAAUAAAGAGAGCCUGAAAGUAUAGCUUGGCACCUACGCAGCAAGCCACUCCUGUCUACAGUGCUCAUGAACCUUCCAGAAUCAUGGAGAAGACCUGCCGUGCAUGGCCCUUAUUGCAAACUGAAAGUGUUUCGAGGCCCAAGGUGGAAAGAAAAAAAAAAGAAGAAAGCAAACCUGGGAAACACAGAAUUCAUUCAGCCCCUUGUAGUCCCGCACUUUGGUCACAGAGGAAACAUCCCCUGACAGCCUGGUGUUCGAAUCUAAUGUGGUCAAAGCAAACUAUGGAGCCGGACCUAUGCAAAUCUCUACAGAAACUCGAGGUUAGAUGUAUUUUACACUAAGUAACACUCAGGGGCCAUCUUCUUGGGAUUGUACUUUAAUAGAAAAUAUGCCAGAGAGGCUAGGGAAAAUUAAGAAAAAUAUAAAUUUAAGUCAGAGAUCGGAAUGGUAAUUUGUGUGAGGGGGAAGAAAACCACAAGCGCUCCCCCCCUCACACUGCCUUGAAAGCGUGGAUGAUUUCAGAAUCCCACCCUACGAGAAAGCAAGGAGAUGCAGGGUUUGGAGUUAAGAAACGUAAGUGUCUCCAGUCCCCAGCUGCACAUUAAACUAAUGUCAAGUUGAAGGAAAUCGUAUUGCUGCUGAGGCUGGAGAAAGAUGUCGGAGUGCAAUAAUUAAUGGUGCAGGUUUGAAGGAGAAAGGCUGCCAGGCUAAUGGAACCUGAAGAGAGGUAAAACUCCUCCUGUCCAGAGACAAGACACUUUCCCACCCAACAUAGGAGAAAAGCCUUCCCUUAAAGUAGAGAGGAACCCUUCGAAACCUUCCCUGUGAAAGCCAGGCCUCGGUUGACUUGUGUGGGACUUGCAGGUCACCACCCAUGUGAGUGGCAAGCAGGCCUUGCUGACAGGACAAGCCCUGAAACCAGACCUGGCCAUUUCUGGUUCUCUAUCAAAAUGAAACCAAAAAGUUCUUCAACCCCAUGAAAAUAAGCGGGAGAAACCCUGUCUCGAAAAACCAAAACCAAAAAAAAGAGAGAGAAAGAGCGAGAGAAGAAAAUAAGUGGGAAAAAGUCACUCCCUGGACAAGGUUUCAAAGCUCACAGCCUUUUAAUAAAGCCAAUGUCUAUGAAAAGGGUUAACCUGUUGUUUAGAAAUGGAAAAUUUUGUUGCUGAAUAAAAAAGUGACUGUAAUUGAAAAAAAAA